rnacentral:rRNA from 1 species
CUAUGCGCCUUGCCAGCCCGCUCAGUCAGAGUUUGAUCCUGGCUCAGGAUGAACGCUGGCGGCGCGCCUAACACAUGCAAGUCGAACGGCACCCCUCUUCGGAGGGAAGCGAGUGGCGAACGGCUGAGUAACACGUGGAGAACCCGCCCCCUCCUCCGGGAUAGCCUCGGGAAACCGUGGGUAAUACCGGAUGACCCCGCAGGGCCGCAUGGCCCCGCGGGCAAAGCCCAGACGGGAGGGGAUGGCUCCGCGGCCCAUCAGGUAGACGGCGGUGACGGCCACCGUGCCGACGACGGGUAGCCGGGUUGAGAGACCGACCGGCCAGAUUGGGACUGAGACACGGCCCAG